rnacentral:rRNA from 1 species
UACAGAGGUCUCAAGCGUUGUUCGGAUUCAUUGGGCGUAAAGGGCGCGUAGGCGGCCACCGCAAGUCAAUUGUGAAAUCUCCGGGCUUAACUCGGAAAGGUCAACUGAUACUGCGGGGCUAGAGUGCGGAAGGGGCAACUGGAAUUCUCGGUGUAGCGGUGAAAUGCGUAGAUAUGGGGAGGAACACCGGUGGCGAAGGCGGCCAUCUGGACGGCUAUUGACGCUGAGACGCGAAAAGCGUGGGGAGCAAACAGG